AGAUUAUAAUUCACUUUCUCUCUCAAAUAAUAAUUGGCGUAGUCCAUCUCUUCGUUCCUCCCGCAAUCGCAACCUCCUCCUCCUCCUCCUCCUCUUAACUCCCUAAAGACAAUAUCAGCAUAUUUAGUUGUAGUUGGAUCUGUAGUCGGCGGCACCUCUGCGAACCACUCUCCUCUGCUGCUAUUUUCGCUAAAUUAGGCCGGUAUCAACACGCUUCAUUGGAGAGAUGAUUUAUUGCUUAACCUGGAUAAGUGAUCUUUGGAAACAUGUUUUUUGUCAAUCCUUGGGUAGUAGUAGCGGGACUUCAAUCUCAAGUCUCCCAGAUGAUAUAAUCACGGAUAUUAUCGCUCGACUCUCCACUAAGAAUGUUUUAACAUGUAAAUUAGUUCAUUCACAAUGGCACCAGUUGUAUUCCACCCCAUAUUUUGCUGAAAUCCAUCUUGCUAAUGUUACUCCUAUCAUUUUAGUAGAAGAUAGAUGUAGGUGGACUAGGGUGAAAACAACAUUAUUAUUGGAAGGUUAUGGGAAGAAAUCAAAGUUAAAAAAAAUAUGCAUGAAAAAUUUGGAAAUAAUGAAUAAAUAUCGAUUUGGACUUUAUAAUUCUUGCAAUGGGUUCUUCUCUACAUGAAGUUGGAUAAAGAAUACAUUACUCCAAAGUAUCUGAUUUACAAUCCACUUACAAAAGAAAUUUUUUACUUCUGCGAAGAAAGAUGUAGGAUUUGGGGAUUCUUCUUUCAUCAAUUGGAAAGAGACUACAAGCUUCUAGUUUAUCGUUUCGACAAAAUUAAUCAAACAUGUCAUUAUUAUGUGUAUGGUUUUAAUACAAAGGAUAAGAGAAAGUUAGGAUCUUUUCCUUAUUAUCCUUUGUUGUUUAGUAAUCAUGCUGUUCUAGUGUGUGGAGCUCUGUUUUGGUUGGUUGCGGGCCUUAAAACAAAAGAAUGUUCCAAAUCUAUAAUGAUGUUUGAUUUGAAGUCGGAAAAUAUUCAUGUCAUGCCUCAUCCAGGACCUAGUUGUACACGUAGCUUUUAUCUAGAAAACUGGAAGCUACAUUACCAAAUGGUACUUUUGGAGAUAGAUGGGAGAUUAUCUUUGUCCAACGUAUGUAAGGAGACUGUUGAAGUAUGGAUUCUGGAAGACCUUGCUAAUUGGGUGUGGGUAAAAAAGUAUGCAGUAAACCUUGAUAUACCUUUUGACCAUGAUGCAUGUCAUUCCCAUCCGGUUGUGCUCUUCCAAAGUGGCAACCUUUUGUUAAAUUGGCCUGCUAGAGGGCCGUUCUGGUGUAACCUAAGCUUGAACUAUCUUUGUAAAAUUAAAUUAGAUCUUAAUAAAGUGGACAGUGAUUUUGUUUUUUAUGCUACCCAAUACACCAGCAACUUUGGCUCCCUGAGAGGCUCCAACAUAUUUUACGAUUCCUUUAAAAGUUGUGACAUAUUUCCUAGUUGCUCUACUAGUCUGUGACAUUGCCUCCCCCGCUUCUCUAGCCCUUUUAAAAGCUUUACUGUUUCCAGUGCUAGUUUGCUGAGUGUGUGCCUUAUGAACACUACUCUUCAAGUGCUGCUUUUUUACCUUUUUUAAAAAAAUUAUUUUCUUCUGCCUUUUCCUCCUCACCACAUCUCCUCUCUUUUUCUUUCUUUCAUCCUCCGUAAUCUUGAUCUCAAUCUUAAUCUAUACACCCUAGGUUUUCCUUUUUUCCUCUUAGAUCCCAUCUUAAUCUACAUUUUCCCUCACCCCCUUUUAUCUCAAUCCACAAACCAUCCGUUUUCAGGUAUCCUAAUCAAUCUCAAUCCACAUACCAUAGGUUUUCAGAUAUCGUAAAUCUCACUUGUUAUUAUCGGAGAAAAUGGUUACUAAGUUGAACAGGCAAAAUUGGAUGGCGCAAAGUUGAAGAAAUUAGACUUUCAAGUGCUGCACGGGGGAUGAGGUAUUUGCGAGUAUCAUCUUCGUUAACUUUUCCUUGGUGCGUAAUUCUCUCACAUCUCUGUAUUUGCUCUUUUUUUUCCUUCUUUAACUAUUGCUGAUUAUUUGUGAUGUUUAGAUUUUGAAGCUUGAAUGUUGAGUGUGGGUUUUAAAUACUUAACUCCCAUCUAUCACUCUUCUGAAGUUUAGGCAGGCGACAUCAGGUGUAUCAAUUUGUAUUUGGUACUUCACUGAUGCGAAUCAAGUUCAAAAAUGUCUGAAUCGACACUUGAAUCAUCUCCGUUAUUUGUAAAUAGUUAUCUCUCUCUUACUAUGUCGCUAUAUAUCACUUUUUUGCUUAGUUUUGAUGGGUUUUAAUAUUGUAUUUCGCCAUUAAUAGUGCAGGCAUGUUCCUUGGCCAAAUUAUAUCACCAGAGAAAGGUAUCAAAUUGAAGACUGUGGUCUGUGGUUGGCCAGUGGGGAAUUUAGCUUAUGACUGUACUCUUAAUAUUUUGACUGGCCGGACUCACCAGAUUCACAGCUGCUCCAUGAGUGGAUAUUUCAUUGUGGGCCAAUUGGAACAUUGGAUUCCAGAAGAUGGUUUAGAAAAAAUUAGAACAUCGUGAUGCAGUAAUUUACAACUGAAGUAUCCAUCAACAGCCAAGAUGUUUUGCUUAUGGGAUGGGACUCCUUAUUUCAUCUGUCCUCUGAAGAAUGUGAAGCACAAGUCAGCGAUUUUUUGAAGAUCUCUUUAUUCAAGAACUCUUCUGGAUUAAUGUCUGAUUGAUAACCAUAUCAUUUACCAGUUUUUUGAAGAUCUCUUUAUUCAACAACUCUUCUGGAUUAACGUCUGAUUGAUAACCAUAUCAUUUACCAGCUUAUAUGCUUGCUUGUGAUGAUGAGAUCCAUGUUCUUUUGCAUCUGUGGAUGAUGUGAAAGGCUGUUUAGCCGCCAAACUACUGAAUCUUGUAAACGAUACAUAUUUCAUUAGCUCUGUAAAUUGCAAUAUGAGUAGUGUUUUACAGUUUUUAGGUAUACAGCAAGGGUGUUAAUAGUUGUGCAUAUAACAUACUUUGUGUUCAGGAAGGUAUGAGUAUCAGGGAUGGGUACAGGUACAGGUUUGCAGCUAGUCAGCAUUCCAAUGAAGUCUAGUGGUUUAUUUAGAAUCAUUUGUUCGUUCUUUUGAAAUGUGGAGCGUUAAAAGUUGCCCCAUUGUUUUACAUUAAUAUCCUUAUUUCAUCUUUUCUUUUA